rnacentral:pre_miRNA from 1 species
AAAAAGGCAAACAUUAAAUUUGCGUGUCAAAUAUUUGAUCGUUCGUUUUAUUUAAAAAAAUAUGAAAAUAAAUAAAAAGGUAAGUCACGCAUAAAAUAUUAAUCAUGUUUUAUCAUCUAACAACAAUGAAAAUACUAAUUAUAAAAGAAUUUUAUAUAAGACGGAACGGUCAACGUUCAACAAAGAAAAGGUCAACGCGUUACUGGUC